AUACGUAGGGGGCGAGCGUUGUCCGGAAUUACUGGGCGUAAAGAGCUCGUAGGUGGUUUGUCGCGUCGUCUGUGAAAUUCCGGGGCUUAACUCCGGGCGUGCAGGCGAUACGGGCAUAACUUGAGUACUGUAGGGGAGACUGGAAUUCCUGGUGUAGCGGUGAAAUGCGCAGAUAUCAGGAGGAACACCGGUGGCGAAGGCGGGUCUCUGGGCAGUAACUGACGCUGAGGAGCGAAAGCAUGGGUAGCGAACAGGAUUAGAUACCCUGGUAGUCCAUGCCGUAAACGGUGGGCGCUAGGUGUAGGGGUCUUCCACGACUUCUGUGCCGUAGCUAACGCAUUAAGCGCCCCGCCUGGGGAGUACGGCCGCAAGGCUAAAACUCAAAGGAAUUGACGGGG
rnacentral:rRNA from 1 species